GGUUGAUCCUGCCAGUCGUCAUAUGCUUGUCAUGAGGACUAAGCCAUGCAUGUCUAAGUAUAAACUGCUUAGUUUAUUCAGUGAAACUGCGAAUGGCUCAUUAAAUCAGUUAUAGUCCAAGUGGUUGUGGUGUUGAUUCUCAUUAAUUGGAUAACCGUGGGAAAUCCAGGGCUAAUACAUGCGAAAAGAGUCGACUGGUGGGAGGGGUGACUCCUUUCACCUCGGAAGACUUGAAUUUAUUAGAUUAAAAAACCAAUGAGUGGGAGCAAUCCCACUCCUCUCCUGGAUGAUU
rnacentral:rRNA from 1 species